AUCCGGGUUGCGGACAGUGUCUGGUGGGUAGUUUGACUGGGGCGGUCUCCUCCCAAAGCGUAACGGAGGAGCACGAAGGUUAGCUAAUCCUGGUCGGACAUCAGGAGGUUAGUGCAAAGGCAUAAGCUAGCUUGACUGCGAGAGUGACAGCUCGAGCAGGUGCGAAAGCAGGUCUUAGUGAUCCGGUGGUUCUGAAUGGAAGGGCCAUCGCUCAACGGAUAAAAGGUACUCCGGGGAUAACAGGCUGAUACCGCCCAAGAGUUCAUAUCGACGGCGGUGUUUGGCACCUCGAUGUCGGCUCAUCACAUCCUGGGGCUGAAGUAGGUCCCAAGGGUAUGGCUGUUCGCCAUUUAAAGUGGUACGCGAGCUGGGUUUAGAACGUCGUGAGACAGUUCGGUCCCUAUCUGCCGUGGGCGUUGGAAGAUUGAGAGGGGUUGCUCCUAGUACGAGAGGACCGGAGUGAACGCACCACUGGUGUACGGGUUGUGAUGCCAAUUGCAUUGCCCGGUAGCUAAGUGCGGAAGAGAUAACCGCUGAAAGCAUCUAAGCGGGAAACUUGCCUCGAGAUGAGUCUUCCCUAGACACUUGAUGUCCCUGAAGGGCCGUUGAAGACGACGACGUAGAUAGGCUGGGUGUGUAAGCGUAGCGAUACGUUGAGCUAACCAGUACUAAUGACCCGAGAGGCUUAACCUUACAACACCGAAGGUGUUU
rnacentral:rRNA from 2 species